GCAUCUGCAUUAAAAUGGAAUCAUCAUUAAUUUCUCUAAAUCUUUCGAUCGAUAAGUUUUAGCUGAACAUUUUAAGAAGAGGAAAUUUCGAACGAGGAUAAGAAUUAGGUAAUCUGGACGCGACAGGCUCCAAAGGAGAGGUUUUGAGAAUUAGUUUGGAGAAUGCUGAGAUGGAGAAUUGAAGUUGAACCAAGGUGAUGAGAGAUUUGGAGAAAUUGUAACAGAAAAUUAGAACAAUCGAUUUAAAAAAGAAUAAUAAUUUAACGUGUAAUAAAUUUCAUAGGUUUCCGAGUGAAAAAGAAAAGAGUUUAAAGAGCAACAAAGGAAAUAAAGGAUAAAAAAUCGCGAAAUUAAACAAGCGGAGGAAGAAAAGGGGAAAAAGUUCUCGUACAAAAAAAAAAGAAAGGAAAGAAAAAUGGAAAGAGACGAAGAAAAUCUUUUAAAAAGUUAAAAUUAAUUUCAACGAGUGGCCGCACGCCACAAUCUCAAAGAAUCAAGUUAAUUAUAUAGGUCAACCAAUUUUUUUGCAAAGAGGUUCAUUUACCUUAAACCUUGUGCAAACACAAUGUACACGCUUAGCGAGCAGAUUAUUACAGCCUCGCAAAAUAGCAAAUUGAGCGUGGCCAAUAAUUCGUCCGUCCGAUGUAAUGCCAUCAACUGUAAUUAUCCUCCAUUAUUGGACGGUCUAUUGAGAUCUUAUUAACCCUCCCAGCUAAGCUGCAUUUAUUUUAUCCCAACAAAGACCACCUCCUCCUUCCAUUCGUAGUAAUUACAAAUGCGUUACAGCGCACGUAUACGCGGGCAACACUGUGUAACACUGUGAGAUGAAGUGCCAAGGAGUGUGUAUUACACGAACGAGGUUGUUGCACCCGUGAUCGAAUAAAUAGAGGCGUCGUGGAAGGCUUUAGGCCGUCCUUUCAGCAUUAUUCAAGCCUCGUGACGGGGCUCUUAUGCAAAAGAGACGUAUCAGGAGGAGAAGAUUCCUCGCUGACGACCUCAGAAUAGAUCGCCUAUACGUGUCGUGCCUCGGCGAAAUCAUGAAAGAAAUCAUUGUCCGUGAAGGGUUUCUUCCGAGGCAACCUUGGCAAGCGAAACGGCGGACAAUCGGCCGUGUGCCGGGUCAACAAGGGACAGAAAAAAAAGUUCUCUGCGAUCCUUUGCGGGGGAUUUUCGCCAGCUGCGCGUACGUGCGAGAUCUCCGGUCUUUUCGAUGCUGUUUGACUUGUUAUUUAGGGAAAAAAGAUUCCAGGAAGUACCUACUAACUUUUUACAGGCGUUGGAUUAUUAAUAUUUGCUGAGAAACUGGUGAGAAACGACAAAAAUUUUUUAAUAAUGACGGAUAAAGUGUGGCGAACAGCCUCGACUCUCUUCAAUCGUGUUUGGAAUAAAAGUGAUAAAGUGAUAAAUGGUUGCUAAGAAAUUGAAAGAAACGUCGAUAACUUUUUUUUAACAACGACGAAUAAAAGAGGAAGAGUAAGAAAUGAAAAUAGCGUUUAAGAAAUACGAAAAUUUGAAAAGUUUAAACAGAAUUUACGAAGAGUCGGAAGUUCCAUUAAGUGGAAGUUUUGUAAGAGAUGAUAGAAGUGGAGGAACGCGUAGGAGGAGAGAGGGUUUAGAACAAAUUCAGGUAUACUUGCCGCACUCCAUAACCUUGGCGGGAAUUAUUACAUCAAACUCCGGGGACCGGAAAUCUCGUACAAGAAGAUUUAUACUUCCUGUAUUUCUAACUCCUCCAACUUCGACGGGAAUAUCGUAUGAUAUAUUUCCAAGAAAUUCACAACGUCAUUAUAAACGAUUUCGAUAUCAUAGAUACGAUUCUACAUGAGUGAACGGUGUUCAGAAGUCGAUCACAGUGUAAAUUCUCUGGAAACCGCUUCCAUGAUCGAAGAACCCUCUCUAUUAUUUUCAACUUUCAAUUCUUGGAUCGAUCGAUUAUUUCACAUCAAGUUUACAAGGAUCCCAUAAAACGGAUUGAAACAGCGUGUAAACAGUCCGACUACGAUAUCCAGAGGCAAGAUAUUGGAAAGGAAGAAUUUGAAUAAAAAAGUUAAUGCACGUAAGGUCGUGGAAGAUCAGACGGGAAGAGGUGACGCCACUUGGUGGCUAGGAUAUCGAUCUCUUGGCAGCCUGUGUGACGUCACAUCCUGCCUAUCCUUGACCCAGCCCGAAUCACGUCCUUAGGAUUCCACGCUUCUGGCCCCGCGAAGAUGCAAUUUUGUCGUAUCUAUGCGAGGCAUGCACCGGCGUCUCCUGUUCUUCCGCCUCUUCGUCGCGGGGGAUCGUACUGGAACGCGAGGAACUUUACCGAUGAGGACGCAUAAAUUACUGUGUCCAAGUAGCUGGAAUUACGCCUCGAUUCAUCGCGUCACGAGAAUCGUGUUAAUCACACAUCAUUCGCGAUGCUUGCCUCGAGGUUGCACAAACGUGAAAUAAAAGGAUGCGACGAUAUCGAUCAACUUUCGGAUCUUGGGAUAACGAAAAUUUAAUUUUCAUGCUUGUGCUGGUUAAGCAAGAAUUUUGUUAAUCAAUUCGAAAGCGAUCGAAAAAUGCAACACGAGACAACUUUGAGAUAAAAAUAUCCCGAUGAGUGUUUUAAAUAUUUUCAGAAGGAUAUCAAAAUUCGAUAUCAAAAUUCUAUAUAUUCAUCGUGUAAUCAUCGAAUUACAAAGAUCCUUAAACAACGUAAAAUUCGAAAGUUAAAAUUAGAAACAGGAAAAAAAAAAAAGAAAAAAUCACACAGCAAAAUUCGAUCGAAAGCUCCUUCGUUAGAUGAAAAUCAGAAUCGCUUAUCCUAAAAAUCAGGGAAUCUCGUUCGAGAAGCACGUGCAAAAGAUCGUUUGAUUACGGACGAGAAUAUAUUUCACAGAGGAUCCGCUCCUUUCAACUUACGUAACAACAGUUGUUACACUCGUUUCCGUGCAAAAUCACGCGCAACGAUUUCGCGAUUAAAAAAAUCAUGUUUUGCGUACAUUAAAAAAAAAAACCUUAAAUCCCAAUGGAAAGAAUCGCGCACCUUUGAACGAUUUUUUUUACAGAAUUUUUCGACGUGUAUUUAUCGAGUACAAUCGAGAAACAUCGAGCAAUCGAGUAUCGGAAGAAUCGAUAUCGAUUUCCUAAUUCUUGCGUGAAACAUCAGAGACUGGCCGCGGAAAUUUAAUGGGCUCGAGACUCCGUGAAUAAUAAAUAUCGCGAAAAAGCGAUCAUUACGGAGGGAAACGAGUUCGUGUGUCGAGCUUCAUUCUCGAUUUAUCAGCCAGGAGAGAAAGGGAGAGGGAGGGAGUUGCUCCAACGUAAUUUUCCAACUAUUUCGAAGUCGGUCGAUCAUCGAUUAUAUCGCGUAUUCUUGACACGAUUUACUUCCUGCGGUUUAUGGUUCGAUCCGUACUUUCAAUUUCGAAAAUUCUCGCUUCUGCAUAAUUGUUGUUGCAAAUACAUAAAUAUAUAAAUUUUAGGAAAAUGAAUAUUAUGCGAAGAUACGUAAGAAUGCAAGUAGAAUGUGAUUGAUAGAGUCAGACAUUCGAGGCUCGAAUACAACUUUCGUGAAGUGUAAGAAAUUUUUUUUAAUCUAAAUAAAUUUAAAUAAAUUAGCCGGUCGAUAAAAAUCGUAUUAUAUUUCCUCGAAAUAAUUAGUCGUAUUAAUAAUACAGGAAUUACCGGCUCAUGACUGAUUCAUAACUGACUCAACUCAGUCUUUUCAAGGUUUCUUAAUCUAAAGUCGCUUUAGAAAUAAAUGUAACGUUCGAUAAACGUGCAAUUCUCAAGUAAUAAAAAUGUUCACUUCGCAAUGAUAAUAAACGGUAAUAACAAACUGAGAUUAUACUCGGGCGUAAAACAAAAAUAUCUUUAGCACGCACGGAACGAUAUUAGAAAUAAAAAUUUACCUUCCAACAAAUAUUUCUUCUAAUCUCGUCCUCCUUAUCAAUGAUCCAUAUUCAUUUUUCCAAUAAAUCGGACGUCACCCGUAUAUCUUGCGUCUUAUGCCACGCACCACGACAUUAAAAAAAAAUCCAACUUUCAUUUCUACUGAUCUCCCAUCCAUAUUUAGACAAAAUCGUGUAUUAAACAUCCAUGCACUUUGCAUCACGCGCAACAGAUAAAACGUAACAAAUGAUAAAAAUUCAUUUUCCAACAAAUAUUUCCUUUAUACCACAAUUAUUGCCAUCUCGAACUGGCCAACCGACCGCCCGCAUUACACUAAUUAUUUCACUUUCAUCCUGGUGUUAAACACGCCGGGGUUGAGACACCGCGUGUACUGCGAGAUGUAAAUUACGAGGCCGUUUCAGAAGGCUCCGCGAAGCUUUAUGAGCUCCGUUAUCGUGUCCGAAUUUCAUGGUAGUCGUACGUCUUUCCACCGAUUAAAUAAAUAAUUCAUGAGGUCGAAAGGGCACGGUGAAGAUCCGUCCAAGUCGGAACAAGUUGAAACUCGUUAUCGUGUCCUGGCCAGGACUAUUUCCGCUCGAGGACGUGGCGCAACCUUGUUCUCGCAGCGGUCCUCGCGUGCAAUUUGUGUCUUCUCGCGAGGACACGCGUCGUCGAGUUCCGUUCCGUUCGGACCGGGAAGUAGCCGUUUCUGUUCGGUUAUGGAGCCGACUAUUAGUCUGGUCACUUUCGUGAUCGCCCGCGAUAUUUCUCGAUCAGACUGGCUCGAGAUUACGGCGACCUCGACCGUCGUCAGGGACGGUCCUCAGACGGGGUAAACAAGUUUGGCGACUACUGUGGAGGGGUGACACGAUUGACGAUCGAUUUUUUUUUGCUCGUUCUUGGGCAGAGAUUAGGGGUUUGUAAAAUUCGUUGAAUUAAAUUCUAUAUAUAAGAAGAUUAAGAAUUGCUUCGUAUUGUACUCGAUCGAUCGGUGAUUAACGAUGGAUGUUUCCUUGAUUUUGAAAUUGAACAAAGAUUGGAUCAUAAUUUAUCUUGAUAAAAAUGGUCUUCUCUUUUUUUGUAUAUAGCUGUGUAUAAAACACAAAAUCCAAUAUUAGAAUAGCCGAUAAAUAUUCCUCUAUUCAUGAAGAACAAUUUAAUGGCCCCGGCAGAGUCGGCUUCCCCUACAUUUCAAUGCUCCUCAUCCGGAUGCUCGUAAGUUAAGUCGUCGUUCCGAAGGAAUUGAGUUACUGCGCCAUUGGGCUCGGGAAGUGUUAUUUUAUCGCGUCUUCAAAGCAUGUGGAUCAAGGGAAUUCUUUCAAUUUGCAAUACUGCAGAUUUUAUUACGUCAAUAUAAACGAGAAAUUACGAGUUCUUAUUCGCACUGCCAAUUCGAGUAGUCACUGAUAAUUUUAUAUCGGCAAUAAUCUUCCACAGAUAUUUUCACAAAUAUUUAAAAUACGAAAAAUAUGUAAUAAUCGUUUUAUGCGAUGCUCGUGCAGAACAAAUAUACUUCUUGUAUGUCGAAUUUUUGUAUACUUAAUUUUUUAAAUAAUUACACAACAUAUUCUCGAUAUUUACGUAAGCCCACUUUCUUUGAGUUAAGUAUUCCUUUAAAACGUUCCUCGUCGACGAAAACAGAGUUUCUUUUUUUUCUUUGCGAUUCAAUGCGAAGAUAUGGAGAAAUCUCGAAGCGCGAGUCGCAGAAUUGGCGGCGGAAACGGCGCCAUUACCGAUCCUCCGCGACCCUUAUUAUCCUUAUUUUCAUGACAAUCGACACUUAGACCAGACACGGAUAAGGAGUUCGAUCACUUUCACGAAUUCUCGCGCAAUGUUUCCAUUCUGGGUCAAGUAUUUCCUGCAAUGGGGAUAAAAGGAGGCGAAUUUAUGACCGCUUAUUCAAUGCACCUUCCGGGAAGGAAAAUUCAUGUUUGUUCGACCUUUUCCGGUAAUUCGAGAUAAAAGUGGUUCUACUUUAUUUAUGACGUCUUUAGAGAUAAAACGUUAUACUGUUGUGCAUUAAAAGUCUAAGUGCGGUUCUAUCUUAGGAAGUGUUUAGAUUAUCAACAUCGAUUAUUUUUAUUAGGUUGGAAAGUAUCCAGUAAAUUAUAACUGUUGUGAUAACAGUUUCGUUAAUUUCAAAGUCACGUAGAUUUAAAUAUCAAUUAUGAUUUCAGCCUUGCUUGGAAUCGGAGAAAAGUGGAUUUUUGUGAUCUUGGAAAAGAUCAUUUUUCUAUUUUUCUUGUAUUCAGACCUAGCUGACAAUUUAUCAACGUAGAUAAAUACACGCGAUUGUACAAUUGUACUUGGAUAAAUCUUCCAGUUAAACAAAUAAUAAUUUCAAAUAAUUACAAAUUGAAUUUCUC